AAAGUGCACAAAUAAACAUUCCAGUUAUCAAUGCUAAUGACAUAGUUUGUAACCAGAUCAUACUUAAUGGAGAUACAUGGCCAGAAACCCCAGCUGGAGAAACAGUGAUUAUUCGAACAUGCCCACCAGGAAGGGUUGGCUAUAAGUCCCGGACUUGUAUCGGCCCUGCUUGGCAGGACGUGUUCUCCAGCUGCGUCAGUGAAGAAUUGGACAAAGUUUCAAAUGCAGCUCAAGCCUUCCUGAAGGGACUAGGGGCUACCCGGA